UUUUUUUUGAAUAAAUUAUAUUUUGGUGAGGGUAAUAAAACAAACAGAUGGCGGGAUGGAUGCGGGUUUUAAUCGGCCUUGCGGCGAGAAUUAAUAAUUGAACACUACUGGAGCUAGAGUGGAUCCGGAUCCGCUGUUCUUCCUCCAACAGAGCUUACCUAACCUACGUCAUGCGUCACUCUUUGAGAGAGGGAUGCGAUCAUGCGCCCUCCAAGAACUAAGAAUUAAGUGUUCGCUGUUCUCUUUGUGACAGUCGAUCCGUUAAAGUGGCGGGAAGCGAGAGCAGCGAUGACGGCGGAAUCUUGCGAUAACCCUAGCGGAGGAUUCGGCUUCGACCUAGACAGGAAAAAAUGAAAUGACUAAACUGACCUUCUCAUUCUUAAGAUCGCACGGCGUUCGUUCGAGAUCGAACGGUCAGAGAAGGAGCUGCCGAGAACUUGCCAAAUUGCAUGGUGAAAUAUGGUAUCAGCUGAGGGGAGAUGUCUUCGUCGAAAAGGGCGGCGCUGGAGAAUCAGCCGGCCGCCAGACGGAUUCUUCGGACGCAGAGGAUGGGUAGCCUUUGGGGAGUCCAUCUUCGACAGGGAGGUCGUGGCUUCGUCCCUCGUCGAGGUCGCACCCAUUCUUCGAGUCGCCAACGAAGUCGAGUUACAGAACCCGCGUGUUGCUUAUCUCUAUGCCCUUUAAGCUAUAUGAAAUGUUAGCUGAGAAUACAAGCUCAGUGACUGGUGAAAAUAUAAAGCCAGCAUAUGGUGGUGAUAAAGAAGUAUUUUUGAAAAAAGUUGUAACUCCAAUUUAUCAAACAAUAGCAAAGGAGGCUGAGAGAAGCAUGAGAGACAAGUCGAAACAUGCACGCUGGCGGAAUACGAUGAUUUGAAUGAAUAUUUUUUGGUCUAUAAUCUGUUUUCUAGUAGGAUGGCCUAUGGGAGCUGAAGCUGAUUUUUUUUUUGUCAGCCACCACAACCUUCCAUGUACAAAAGGGACGAAGUAAAUCCUAAAGUGUCUUGCAGUUAGUGAAUCUAGUUGAUGAAUUUUCUUACUUUUCGUGAAUCUUCUUGGAGUCCUUUUUCUCCUUUUAUGUUCCUUCUCUACAAAGCUAUCUAGCCCGUCUAUACUUUAUAUAUGCUCAUUUAUCCUUUUUCUCCUUUUAUGUUCCUUCUCUACAAAGCAAUCAAGCCCGUCUAUAUUUUAUAUAUGCUCACCAUAAAUGUUGAUCCUGUCUAAAAAUCGAUAAGAUGAAAACUGAGGAUGUAGUGCUCUCGUUGAUCUUAUGUGGAUUUCGUUCUGACCUACAAUAUAAAUAGCGUCAGUGCCGAGCUAGGGAAGCGGUCCUCGACGAUGUUCAAGUCAAUCUCCGGUGAAGAAGAAGAAGCAGUAAGCGGAGCAACAAGAAUUUUGUAGUGCAACAGUAGAAAUCGCAUGUAACACAUAUUUCCAUCGAUGCUUGGAUCCCCUUUUAUAUAGAACUCAUGUAGCAUAUGUAUGCUUCCUAAGGUGGACAUGUAUUUCAAAGUUUUUUUUGA